rnacentral:rRNA from 1 species
UACAGAGGGUGCAAGCGUUGUUCGGAAUUAUUGGGCGUAAAGCGCGUGUAGGCGGUAGUGCAUGUCGGGUGUGAAAGCCCUCGGCUCAACCGAGGAAGUGCGCCCGAAACUGCAUCACUAGAGUGCUGGAGAGGGUAGCGGAAUUCCGGGUGUAGAGGUGAAAUUCGUAGAUAUUGGGAGGAACACCGGUGGCGAAGGCGGCCCCCUGGACCGGAACUGACGCUGAGGCGCGAAAGCGUGGGUAGCAAACGGG